rnacentral:rRNA from 1 species
CUACGGGAUGCUGCAGUGGGGAAUAUUGCACAAUGGGCGCAAGCCUGAUGCAGCCAUGCCGCGUGUAUGAAGAAGGCCUUCGGGUUGUAAAGUACCUUCAGCGGGGAGGAAGGGAGUAAAGUUAAUACCUUUGCUCAUUGACGUUACCCGCAGAAGAAGCACCGGCCAACUCCGUGCCAGCAGCCGCGGUAAUACGGAGGGUGCAAGCGUUAAUCGGAAUUACUGGGCGUAAAGCGCACGCAGGCGGUUUGUUAAGUCAGAUGUGAAAUCCCCGGGCUCAACCUGGGAACUGCAUCUGAUACUGGCAAGCUUGAGUCUCGUAGAGGGGGGUAGAAUUCCAGGUGUAGCGGUGAAAUGCGUAGAGAUCUGGAGGAAUACCGGUGGCGAAGGCGGCCCCCUGGACGAAGACUGACGCUCAGGUGCGAAAGCGUGGGGAGCAAACAGGAUUAGAUACCCGUGUAGUC